GUAGACCCGAAAGAGUCAACCCCUUCUCGAGGGGCAACCAAUGAGGGAGGCCAAAAUCACGUCAGAAUGGGCAGGCAACCUACCCGGAACUCAAAGAAUCAGCAAAGAGAGGUUAUAUAAACCCUAGAAAACUUAAUCAAAAAACCUUUUGCCUUUAGACUUUUGAUUGAUAUUAAGUAACUUAGAGUUCAGGGGAGGCUAUCGCCGAGAGAGCGAUGGCCGUGAGUGUGCGCUGGUGGCUGAUGGCGAGCAUCUAUUUCCUCAUCUCAAAACUGCACAGUUGCCAACAGGGGAGAGAUAUGGUCAGUUUCCUGCCAAUAAUAGGACACAGCUUCAUCCGCCGGAGCCCGAUCUGCUGCUUCCGGACAAGUCUCCGUUGUCGGCACACCGAAUUUCUACUGAAUAUAGAGGAGACCUACGGUCCGUUUCCCUCGGCGCCUUUAGACAAAAUUCUGCGGAGGAUCUACAAGCAGGAUUGCUAUGGCAGUUAUUAAAAGCCUGAAACUGAUGAGAAAUUCCAGUUCUGGCUCGAAGAAAGCUUGGUAGAGGAGGAGGCAACUCGCUGUGUGUGGGGGGGGGGGACUGGAAUUAAUACGCAGGAACUCCCGCUGUGCGUGGUGCCAGAGUUGAAGAUUAUUGACAAGAGAGAGAGAGAGAGAGAAAGUUAUUUCUCCAAACCAAGCAAUUUCCUCGACUCAACUAAGAGCUACUUUUGUGGUCCAUCGCAGUUUCCACUCUUUUUUAAGUAAUUUCCUAUCGUUAUCUUCAUCAAAUAAAUUGGCUAUUGUAAUGGAGGGAAAACCGCAUUACCGCCCGAUAUAACUUCCUUUUUCCCCUCGGAGUCUGAUUAAAUAGAAAUUUCUAAAGAGAAGGUUUUCUUUUCUGUACUGGUAAGGAUGGCAUUACAUUUUGACUUUCUUUUUUAUUCCGUAGUUAUAUCAAAACUCAAUGUGAAAGUGAAGUAAGGCCAUUUCGAUAAUGUCUGUAAGAUUUGAAAAUAAACUCCUAGUCACGU